rnacentral:misc_RNA from 1 species
GAUGAAGAACGUAGCGAAAUGCGAUAAGUAAUGUGAAUUGCAGAAUUCAGUGAAUCAUCGAAUCUUUGAACGCACAUUGCGCCCGUUAGCAUUCUAGCGGGCAUGCCUGUCCGAGCGUCAUUUCAACCCUCAGGGUCCCCGUUCCGGCGGGGAACCUGGUGUUGGGGAUCGGCCCGCCCCGUGCGGCGCCGUCCCCCAAAUUCAGUGGCGGUCUCGCUGCAGCCUCCCCUGCGUAGUAGUUACAACCUCGCAUCGGAGCUCAGCGCGGCCACGCCGUAAAACCCCCGACUUUCUGAACGUUGACCUCGGAUCUGGUAGGAAUACUCGCUGAACUUAAGCAUAUCAAAAAGCGGAGGA